UACAGAGGGUGCGAGCGUUAAUCGGAAUUACUGGGCGUAAAGCGUGCGUAGACGGUUAUUUAAGUCUGUCGUGAAAGCCCCGGGCUCAACCUGGGAAUGGCGAUGGAUACUGGCUCGCUAGAGUGCGGUAGAGGAGAGUGGAAUUCCCGGUGUAGCAGUGAAAUGCGCAGAUAUCAGGAGGAACACCGAUUGCGAAGGCAGCUCGCUGGGACGUUACUGACGCUGAGACGCGAAAGCGUGGGGAGCAAACAGG
rnacentral:rRNA from 1 species